rnacentral:rRNA from 1 species
CRAAUAGGGCGGUACCUUGACGGUACCUAACCAGAAAGCCACGGCUAACUACGUGCCAGCAGCCGCGGUAAUACGUAGGUGGCAAGCGUUGUCCGGAAUUAUUGGGCGUAAAGCGCGCGCAGGCGGUUUCUUAAGUCUGAUGUGAAAGCCCCCGGCUCAACCGGGGAGGGUCAUUGGAAACUGGGGAACUUGAGUGCAGAAGAGGAGAGUGGAAUUCCACGUGUAGCGGUGAAAUGCGUAGAGAUGUGGAGGAACACCAGUGGCGAAGGCGACUCUCUGGUCUGUAACUGACGCUGAGGCGCGAAAGCGUGGGGAGCGAACAGGAUUAGAUACCCUGGUAGUCCACGCCGUAAACGAUGAGUGCUAAGUGUUAGAGGGUUUCCGCCCUUUAGUGCUGCAGCAAACGCAUUAAGCACUCCGCCUGGGGAGUACGGUCGCAAGACUGAAACUCAAAGGAAUUGACGGGGGCCCGCACAAGCGGUGGAGCAUGUGGUUUAAUUCGAAGCAACGCGAAGAACCUUACCAGGUCUUGACAUCCUCUGACAACCCUAGAGAUAGGGCUUCCCCUUCGGGGGCAGAGUGACAGGUGGUGCAUGGUUGUCGUCAGCUCGUGUCGUGAGAUGUUGGGUUAAGUCCCGCAACGAGCGCAACCCUUGAUCUUAGUUGCCAGCAUU